GCCGCCAUGUCGUGCCGUGAGGAGCCGCGACGGCUGCGCUGCGGUCGGCUGUAGGCGGCGCAGCGUGGAAGGGCUGCGGUUUCGUUUAUCCCCGCGUGGUCAGGCUGUGCGCCAGCGCAGGCGUUACCUAGGCUUCACGCAAGGUUAAUGCGGAUGGCUCACCAAGGGAAAAACGUAACACUGAGUGACGGGAAAGGGCGGCUUUCUUCGUGUUUCGCUGCAGGUGUCACUGAUAAGCCUGCAGGUGAAAAGGCUGCAGCGCCUCCUGACUGGGAACGCUUGUUUUCCCAGCUGUGUUCCCACGUGAAGUCUUGAGUUUAGUGUCUGUUCAGAGUUUUGCAAAGGGAAUGACACAAUUCUUUUUUGCUAAAUGAUUUUUUUUUUUUUUAAUUCUGCACUCGAAGUGAAGCAUUUGGUGCUGUUUUGGAGCUUUUGUUGGAUUUUUUUUUAUGCACAAGGUGACAGGCAGUACUUCCUCAACGUUCUGCAGCGGGACUUUUGUAUUUCCCUCUUGCCGGUGGGGCUGGAUCUCAGGGUGCACUCUUUCCACUGUUCUUUUGUUACUAAACAGUGUUUUCACCAUUAAUCUGAGCUUAUCCAACGUUACUGCUGCUGAAAGGGGCUUCCCUGCGCCGUGUCACAUGCCUGACCUGCUUUCCUGAUUCCAGCAGCAGUGCCUGCGUGGCUCUACAGUCAUUUCGGCUCAUUCAUCCAGCUGAAAGCUAAGCCACCCUGUAAAGGCAGGGAGAUUUCAGUCAGCUUUUCAGCUGAUUGAAGUAUGUUUAGAUUGCUUCAAAGGUUUUGGUGUUUGAUAGCAGCAGAGUUACACUGCUGAUGGUGAAAACUCGAAGUAAAUCGACUUUAUACAUACUCAGAUUGCCUGCUGCAGCAAGCUAAUGAGACGGAGCCCUGCCCUCGUGUGGGGUACCUUGGGGAGAGGUAAGCCACUGGCAACAGAAGCUGUACAAGCUGUGCCGUGCUGACUAGGAAGGAGGCUGUGAAUCUGGGACUUCAGCAUCUGAGUCAGUACAAGAGGGAGCUCUGCUUCAUAAAAUAUAUAUAUAUAUGCUAAUCUCCCAGAUGGCUACAUCUUCAUGGAACAGAUGACCUGGAAAAUAAAACAAGACUGAAAACACUGGUUAGUGGAAAUUCUGGGCUAAAAUGUGAGUUUCUUAAAGAUUCAUCUUUUGAACUCACAGGUCACAGUAUGAUUUCACACACGCCAAACAGCACUGAUACAUUUAUCAAUAUUCAUAUAAGAAAAAUAAAUCAGAGAAAGUGUUUCAGAUGAGCUUCCUAACUGCACUGGAAGAUACACAGCUAAGAGAAAUUAUGUCUUUCUUUGCUUUACUGGUGACUUCAAUUUACAUGCUAUAUAAUUCAUUGCAUUCCAAACUGCUUGUAUAGCCCGUUUCAUUUGGCAUUGGUGUGUUGGCAGUCCUGCAGAGGAACACCCCACAGAUAACAUUGUGCCACAUUUUUGAAAAUGUAUGUAACAGUAAUAUAAGCAAUUUGAAUAGAGGAUCUGAGAGAAGUUAUUGCAGAGCAAAUACUCCAGUUACUGCUCAGCUAGAACUGACACUAGAACAAACCUUUCAUGAAAGAGUACUGAAAUCUUUACAAUCACUGGUGGCCUCAAUCUUCCUUUUUAUGUUGCAUGUGAAGAAUGAAGCAGCACAGCAUACUUCAGUGGCACUACCAGUUCAGCACUCCCUCAGAGCAUCCAGCUUCCUGCCAAACUGCCAACACUGCCUGUGGCACCAUGGCUUCCCAUAGAAGCCUGUUGCCCAAGGAAUGACUGAAUCUUUCUUUGUGAGGACAGUGAGUUUUUGUUUAAAAAAUGAAACAAAAAACAAGUCAAAACCAAGAGAAGAGCUAGUUCCUGGCUUCAUUUAGGUUUUAAGUUGUCAAAUACUUUGAGUCAGUUUUCAGGUUACUGAAGCCAUCCUUGAAUAACUUCAGAAACACAACACAAGAAUGAAGAAUCCUGCACGUGAACUCAAACCACCAGAGACAGAUAGAAACUUUAUUUGUAAUUCUAAUGGUGCAUUAGAAAUACGACAUAUAAAGACACAACAUCCAUUACUGACACCAGCAUUCAUAUCCGAUUUGUAACUUUAUACCCAAACCAUAACUGUGCUAAAUCUGUCAUUACAAAGUUGUGAAAUUAGAUUAUUUUACUCCAAAUGAAAAGCCAUCUUUCUCCUUACUGAGGCUGAUGUCUUUUUUCUCUAAUAUGUAUUCAGCAAGUUUGCUUGCUACUCAGAAUAAUAAACCUCAGUCUAAAAUAAGACCAAAUAGGUCAGGGCUGUAGUAAUUGUUUUUGUUCAGGUUGUCUUGAGGGAAUAGGCAACAUUUGCCUGCUGCCUCCUUUUAUUCACAAUCACAGUUUAAAUUCUUAACAGAAUCAGUUAGAACAGCCUCUUCAAAAAAAAAAAAGUAUCAGUUUUUACUAGAAAAAUCUUCUUCCUACAUUUUUCUACAGUGUGUCUACCAUAAUGACUAAACUCAAGUGUUAUUCUGAAUACAUUUAAGUACUUCACAAGGCAACUGGAAGGGGAUUUCCUUGUACUUACAUGGAAAUGGACUCAAUUCUGUUUUGAUCUUUCAGCAAGUAUGGGCAGAAAGACACACAGAUCACAUUUUUAUUCUAAUACCAUCCCUAGCAGUACCCAAUCCAUAGAGAGACAAAAAACAGUGAAGAUGAAUUUCAUGCUUUGCUGCUGCAACUAUCUCAACACAUGUGCCUUUUCAUUCCAGAAUUAACUAACUUUAUUUUUUUCUUUCACUAAUUGAUGAGCUCUGGUUCUCCCCACUGUAAAAGAUCUGUACAACUCCAUACAGCUUGAAACUUUCAUAGAACAUGAGAGAAAUACAGUUCUUGGAGUUCUCCUACACAGAUUGCUGAAUGCCAUUGACUCUAAAUGGCACUUAAGUAGUUCUCAAAAUCUAAUAUUAAACAACAUUAACUCUUGAAGGAUACACACCUCCUUUCUCAUAGUGUGGUAUUUUUCCUCUAAAUUAAGUGAUUUUAAUUAAGCAAGAGUAAGGUUCACUGAUGUACAAAUGACAGGCUUUCUACACAUUAGUAUUCCUCAAGUAUGUUUUCCUGCUCUGCUACAUCUGGAGCUUCG